AUGGAAAUCACUUUAGGAGAAGCUACAAAACUCCUAGAUAAUAUUAUGGUUAAUUAUUCUCAAUGGCACACAGAAAGAUCUACUAGUAAAAAGGUUCAUGCAAUAGAAGAGAUUAAUGUUUUAAGUGGAAAGAUGGAUGAACUUAUGAAAUUGUUUGCUAAUAGGAGUGUUUCUUAUGAUCCUAAUGAUAUGCCUUUGUCUACUUUGAUAGAGAAUAAUAAUGAAUCUAUGGAUGUGAAUUUUGUUGGUUGGAACAAUUUUGGAAAUAACGCGUAUAGAGAAAACUUUAAUCCUAGGCCGUUUCCUAGUAAUUCCUCUAAUAAUUAUGGUAAUUCCUACAACAACUCUUAUGGAAAUUUUAAUAAAAUGCCCUCUGAUUUUGAGACUGGUGUUAAAGAAUUUAUGAUUUCACAAAAGAAUUUCAAUGCUUUGCUUGAAGAAAAAUUGCCUAAGAUUGAUGAGUUGGCUAGGAACGUGGAUAGAAUUUCUCUCGAUGUUGAUUCUUUGAAACUUAGAUCUAUUCCACCUAAGCAUGAUAUCAAUGGGUCUCUCAAAUCUAUGAAAAUUUCCAUUGAUGAGUGCAAAGAAAGAACCGCUAGGAUGCGUGCUAAAAAAGAUUGCUUUAUAAAAGCGUGUUCUUCUAGUUUUCACGAUAAUAAGGAUGAAGAUCUAAAAGUGAUCGAUGUGUCUCCUAUUAAAUCUUUGUUUUGCAAUAUGAAUCUUGAUAAUGAUGGGACUGGAGAUGAGUCAACUUUAGUUUAA
rnacentral:rRNA from 1 species